UACACAAGCUCAUAACAUCUUUCUAAACUCGUCAUACAUGGCAGUCGCUCUUGUCCUUCUGUUCUCCACCUGUUUUGGCUUUUGUAUGUUGGAUUUGAUCUGCCUAGUCAGAUUGUGCAAAGUAUGCUCUUGACACAUGAACGCUGUUUUCAUUGUGCAUUGCUUUUGUUGGUUUACAUUUUUUGUGCCUUUUUAAUGGUUCCACCUUGUCCACACUAUGCAGACCUGCUAUUAGUCAAAUCUGGUUUACAUGUUGGUGUUGACACCGUAAUGCCUGCUGUUGAAAUCUGGGCUGUCUGUUCAUGAUCUCUUUGAUUGGCCUUGAUUUAUUGCAUGGUGUUCCCUGAUUCAUGUUAACAUUACAAUUAUACAACCUGUAGACUACAAUAAGGGAUGCCGGCCAGAUAUGCACAGUGCACAUUUUUGUAUUUAAUUGCUAUGCAACACGUGUUUAAAGGUUAGUAUGAAGAUUAUAAUAAGAUUGUUUCUCUAGAAAGCAAUAAUUACAGUAUAGGCAUAGUCCAAUUAUAAAAUGCUUCCUAAGUGGUCCUGAGAUGUCCAUCUUUUAGAGUGCAGGGGUUCAUCAGUGUAGACCAGAUCUCUACUUGCUUUAUCCAUUUAAAUGCAAAACUGUGUCAGACACAGAUGUGUUCAAUACUGGGUUGCUUGUGAUUGCAAUACAUUUAGCGAUGGAAAUUUUUGCAGCGUGAAUGUAUAUUUUUGGGAAUCUGUGUCAUUUUGCGUCGGCCUGGUGUUCCAAAAUCAAGGACCCCAAGAAGAAACUAAGGUAUUGAUCUUUAAACCAUCAGUUGUGCAUUUCACCAAGCACUUUUAAAGUGACCGGUACUUUAUUCUUCGCUGUGGUGUCUAAGUAAUAUCUGUUGGAUUCCUGAAGGUCUGCUUGUGACACCUACUGUCGAGCAAUCUGACGUUUAUGCUGAACGGUGGAUCAAACACCGGCUUCAUAGAAAUGCAAAGAGUCAUAAUCACUGUGGUCCUACAGAGACCCUUCAGGAAAUGAGGCUUGAAGGAGUGGGAUCCCUCAUCAUCAGGAGACAGCAGCUCACCAAAGACCCUUCAGCUGACCUGCUGGACAACUAUAGAAAAGAUGCAGAAAUGUCUGGUAA